rnacentral:rRNA from 1 species
GAAUCAACGCUGGCGGCGUGCCUAACACAUGCAAGUCGCACGAGAAAGGGGAGCAAUCCCUGAGUAAAGUGGCGCACGGGUGAGUAACACGUGAAUUAUCUACCUCCGAGUGGGGAAUAACUGAGAGAAAUCUUAGCUAAUACCGCAUAACACUUACGAGUCAAAGCAGCAAUGCGCUUGGAGAGGAGUUCGCGGCCGAUUAGUUAGUUGGCGGGGUAAUGGCCCACCAAGACGAUGAUCGGUAUCCGGCCUGAGAGGGCGCACGGACACACUGGAACUGAAACACGGUCCAGACUCCUACGGGAGGCAGCAGUGGGGAAUUUUGCGCAAUGGGGGAAACCCUGACGCAGCAACGCCGCGUGGAGGAUGAAGUCCCUUGGGACGUAAACUCCUUUCGACCGGGACGAUAAUGACGGUACCGGUGGAAGAAGCCCCGGCUAACUUCGUGCCAGCCGCCGCGGUAAU